AAUAAAUAUAUAUUAUGUUAAUAAAAUAGAUUAUACAUUUUAAAGACUUUUAAUUCAUGUAAUAUUACAAAAUUAAAAAUUUGUUUAUUACAAUUAAUAUUUUACCAUUAGAUAUAUUAAAAUAAUAUUCUAGAUCGAUAUUCAAUUGUUAGUUUUCAACUAUUACACGUAAAAAAAAUAUUGUUAAGUAUGUUUUUUUAAAGGGGGUUUUGUAUUUUAAGUAGGUCAUUGGAGUACUUUUUCUUUUCGUGAAUUUAUUCGAGCUGAGAUUCCCGAUCUUUUAAACAAAGAUAAUUUAUGUUCUAUACAUAAUUAUAUUUUUUUUACAUAACUCUAAAAUUUCUGACUUGAUUCUUCAUAUUUUAUUAGUUAAUUGUGUUACAUAUAAUUGAAAUACUUAUUUCAAACAAAAAAUAUAUAAAAAAAAUCAAAUUUAAAAAUUAGUUAUAUAUAAUUUAAUAUACAAAAUUUUACAUACAAAUAAAAAUGAUAAAUGUAACAAAUUUAAAUAUAUUAUCCGCGCGUAGCGCGGAGAAAGGAUCUAGUACUAUAUUAAAAGGGUUAUAUGAGCUCCAUACAGCAUGUCCACGUCGGAUUAAAAAUUCAUCCAAUCAAAAGUUUAUGUUUUGACACGUCAUUUUUCAUUCACUUGAAAUUAUACGCUUCAUCUUCCUCCAACUCGCGGAGCAAACCUCCGUUCCAACACUUCUGAUUCUCUUUUGCCGUUUCAUAAAUUUCAUGUGUUAUCAUAACCCAAACGACAUAUAUCUCCCUUUUUCUUCUCCCCUUCACUCUCUAUCCAUCCAUCAAAAUCUACGGCCGAAGACGAAUCAGAAUCGCUCUGGCCCCCACGAGCCACCUUCGUCGCAACAUGCAUCGUCGGCGACCUUAACGCCAACGACAUCAGAGGCUGAACAGCACGAACGUAAUUUUCUCUUAUGUUAAAUAUCAAAAAGUCAAAGACUUUUUCAUGCUCAUAUAAUAAAAAAAAGGAAAUCUUUUUGUUCAAAGAAUCAUAACUUCGACAAAAGUAUUGAACUUUGUGACGAUUGAGCGAAGAUGGAGAGACUGAGAGAUUGUAUAAAGGAAAUGGUGAAGUUCACACUUACUCACCGUUCAGGUUUCGAUUUAGAGCUUACCGGAGAUUUCUGCUCCGGUCUUCUCUCCGGCGACUCGCUUCUUCACGCCGGUGAUGAGACUGUAGAAGCAUUUGCAGGUGUUCCUGAGUAUCCUCUGUACAAGCGUCUAGCUUUAAGCCUAUUGAAAUCGAUUGCUUCUGGUUGUUUCUGUGGGGGUUUUGAGAAGGUUUCGUUGGGGAAAGAGGUUACCUGGUUGAAGGAGAAAGAGGAGGAGUGGAGCAACAUGAUAACCCAAAAGGGUUCUGAGUUAGUCAACGUGAGUUUGAUCAAGAGUCAUCAAUGCUUAUUAGAGUUUUUGUUUGAUUUUGACUGUUCCCUUUGCAAUAAUCUUAACAGGCCUUGAAGUAUAUAGCUUGUGAGCUUCAAGUUCAAGAGCCCUUAUUCUCCCUCGAAAGGUACAAUCUUGUCUGAAAAUGUUAUGUGUGUUUGUCAAUGUCAACAACAUCAAGUUCUUGAUUAGAGUUUGUGUUGCUUAAUUUGAAUUGGAUACAUUAGAUGGUGUCAAAACAGUUGAGGCGAGGUGUUUUGAAGCGGAGUAUGAUAGGUAAUGAGAAGUGAAAAGUUACUGAGCAUGAUUCCAAACCUUUGUGAAUGUUGUGUGUUCACAAGUGUUGUUUGCAUUCUUCAGAGUUCAACAGAGAGGCUCUCUGGUUAUGAUAAAUAAAUGUCUCCUGUUUGAAGUUAUGGAAAUGCACAAAUAUUCAUCUUUCUACGAGCUGUUAAAAGCUGAGAGUCCAGAGAAAGUCUUCCCUGGAACCAAUACACUUGAAGAAGGUAUGCAAAUGUUCAAGAAGUUGUGUGAUGUUGUUGAUCAAGAGAAGAAGAACAACGGUGUUGUUGCAAUCCAUCUUAGUAAAUCAGUUUCUCAGCCUUGUGUAGCUUUGUCUCACAUACUCUCUGUACGUUCUAGCUUUUUCCAUGUCUCUACUUCUGUUGUUCAUAUGAUUCAUUCUCUUAUGCUUCUUCCAAAAACUACAGGGGUUAGGAAAGCUAGAAAACUAACCUUUACAGAUAUUGAGUGUGAACUUCUUCAUGUUAUUAUCGUGUCACACUAUACUGUAUUUGCAGCACUGUUUGUAUAAAGUUACAAGAAUAUAGUACUGCUAAAAGAGCUAGAAAAAGGCGUUGCAGUUGCACCUAAUGAAUCAAAGUUUAAGAUGAUGGUAGAUGAAUGCAAUUGAAGGUAACUAUUAAAUUUAUAAAAAAAAAUAAUGUUUAUGUACACCAUGUACAUAUACAAACAACCUCACAAAAAAAAUUGAUUUCAAUUUUAUAUUUUAUAAAAUGAUCAUUAAACUAUGUUGACUUACUUUUAAUUUUCAUAGUUUUAAUUUUCAUAGAACUAAAACUGUAAAAAAUUAAAAGCAAUAAUAAUGACAGGUAUAUGAAUAGCUAUUAAUUCAUCAGUCUCUGCGACCCGAAGACGUUCAAAAUACCAUAAUCAUAAAUUACUAAAUGAAUUAUACAGUAAUUCAAAAAAUAAUUGACAAUUAUUACACCAUUGAUUCCAAUCAUGGGUAAGGAACUAAGGAUUCAUCGAGUAGAGUUUGAAAGUAUGCUUCACAUUCUUUGUCUCAAUUCAAGGAGUGUCCUAUUUGUUGAUAUUCGAAUAUAUGAUCACUUAUGCAUGUUUUGUGGAAACUAAGUUUCCCAAAUUGAAUCAGUAAAAUAUGCUACAUAUUUUUAUCGGUUUAACUUCUAAGGCAUCCGUUUUGAUGAUAUUGAAAUAUAUUAGAUCCCUUACGUAUCUUAUUUAUUUUGAUUAAUAAUAUCCACUUGGUUUUCCUUUAUUAAAGAUUCAGUGUACGAAAACAAGUUCACUUUUUGAUUAAGAUCAUUGUGAGUUGAUGAGAUGUGGCUAUCCAUUAUCAAUGUACAACUCCUUUCAAAUGUAAGAACAUAAUAUCUCUUUUGUGGUCAAAUGAACAUAAUAUAUUUUUUUUAAACACAAAUGAACAUAAUAUCUAUUAUGAUAAUUUUUCAUAAAGUAACAUAUAUUCAGACAAAAGGUUAUAAAAUAUUAUUCUAUAAAUGGUUAAUUAAUGCAUAAGUUAAUAUUCACUUUCUUUAAAAUGAUUUCAGGACCAAUUAUUUUAUAAAUGGUUAAUUAAUUUAUGCAUAAGUUAAAAUUCACUUUCUUUACAAUGAUUUCAGGAUCAUUGGUGUAGAAAGUGAAAUAAAUUAUAUCUACAUACUUUUGAUAAAUAUUUUAAGCCAGGGAAUUAUUCAAAACUAGAAAAGUAUAUUUAGUUUUUAUUCAAAUCUACAAUAUUUUUUAUUUUAUUUGAAAUUAUUUAUUUUCUUCAAAGAAUUUUUUUCAAUAAUAUAAAUAUAUUUCCUUAUUCUAAUUAUUGAGCAGAGAUAUAAAUAAUUUUAAUAAGGAAAUAUAUUUAUUACAUUGGUUAAGUCUUUACUAAACAAUAUGAACAUAU